rnacentral:rRNA from 1 species
AGCGAACGCUGGCGGCGUGCCUAACACAUGCAAGUCGAGCGCGGGCAUUUCGGGGGUAACCCCGGGAUGUGCUGAGCGGCGGACGAGUGAGUAAUACGUGGACAACCUGCCUUAAAGCUUGGGAUAACUCCGGGAAACUGGAGCUAAUACCGGAUAAGACCACGGUGUCUAUGGAUGCUGAGGUAAAAGGCGGCCAGGAAACUGGCUGUUGCUU